AUGGGGCUCGUCGUGCUGAAGCCGUCGGCCGGAGGCGCCGGGGGCUCCUCCUCCAGCGGUGGGCAGGCCUCCGAGGCGCUCUUGCUGUCCAACGCCACGGACAUCAGCCACUUUGGCUUCUUCCGGCGCGGCGCAGCUCACGAGUUCAUCGUCUUUGUUGCCCGCACCAUCGCCCACUGCACCCUGCCUGGCCAGCGCCAGUCCGUCCAGCAUGAAGGUAACCACCCAUCUUAG
rnacentral:rRNA from 1 species